GGGGGUCUAUGGGGUGAUCUAUGGGGUGAAUGGGGAGCUAUGGGGCAGGAAUGGGGAGCUAUGGGGCGAUCUAUGGGGUGAAUGAGGAGCUAUGGGGUGAUCUAUGGGGUGAAUGGGGAGCUAUGGGGUGAUCUAUGGGGUGAAUGAGGAGCUAUGGGGCAGGAAUGGGGUCUAUGGGGCAGGAAUGGGGGUCUAUGGGGUGAUCUAUGGGGUGAAUGGGGAGCUAUGGGGUGAUCUAUGGGGUGAAUGGGGACACCUCGUACCUGUAUGGGGUCAGUGACGGGGUCUAUAGGGCAGUAAUGGGGGUCCCGUGGGUCGCAGUGGGGCAGCCCCACACCUCGUACCUGUAUGGGGUCAGUGACGGGGUCCCGGGUCGGAAGCUGCCGGGGCUGCUGAGCUGCGGCUCCACUGCACUGGGGAGCUGAUGGGGGGCAGCCCCAUAGAGAGACAUUAGCACCCAUUGAGACCCACAUCCCUGCCCCACUGAGCCCCAUAGAGAAACAUUGGGACCCACUGAGAAACACUGGGACCCAUAGAGAAACAUUGGGACCCAUAGAGAGACAUUGGGACCCAUUGAGACCCACAUCCCUGCCCCACUGAGCCCCAUUGAGAAACACUGGGACCCACUGAGCCCCACUGAGCCCCAUAGAGAAACACUGAGCCCCACUGAGGAACAUUGGGCCCCAUUGAGAAACAUUGGGCCCCAUUGAGAAACAUUGGGCCCCAUUGAGCCCCUCUGAGCCCCAUAGAGAAACAUUGGGCCCCAUUGAGAAACACUAGGACCCACUGAACACCACUGAGCCCCAUAGAGAAACAUUGGGACCCACAGAGAAACAUUGUGACCCAUUGAGACCCACAUCCCUGCCCCACUGAGCCCCAUAGAGAAACACUGAGCCCCAUUGAGGAACAUUGGGCCCCAUUGAGAAACAUUGGGCCCCAUAGAGAAGCACUGGGACCCACUGAGCCCCACUGAGCCCCAUAGAGAAACACUGGGACCCAUAGAGGAACACUGGGACCCAUAGAGAAACAUUGGGACCCAUAGAGAAACAUUGGGACCCAUUGAGACCCACAUCCCUGCCCCAUUGAGCCCCAUAGAGAAACACUGAGCCCCAUUGAGGAACAUUCGGCCCCAUUGAGAAACAUUGGGCCCCAUUGAGCCCCACUGAGCCCCAUAGAGAAACAUUGGGACCCAUAGAGAAACACUGGGACCCACUGAGAAACACUGGGACCCAUAGAGAAACACUGGGACCCAUAGAGAAACAUUGGGACCCAUUGAGCCCCACAUCCCUGCCCCACUGAGCCCCAUUGAGAAACACUGGGACCCAUAGAGAAACAUUGGGCCCCAUUGAGAACCAUUGGGCCCCAUUGAGCCCCAUAUCCCUGCCCCACUGAGCUCCAUUGAGCCCCAUUGGGACCCAUUGAGCC
ensembl:lncRNA